GCAGGUGUCCAAGGCGGUGGGAAGCUAGCGGGUUUAGGCAGGUUCGGAGCGGUGCAGCAGCCUUCAGCGGAGCAGGGACCGCAAAGGGAGAGCCGGCGGAACCCAGGACGCCGUCAGAAGGCUGCUUGUAGCCCAUCCACACCGCGCCAGGUGAUGUCCUUACCAGAGGUGAUUUCGCAAUGUGUGCAACAGAAGAAUAAACCCUAGUUCAUUGGUUUUCAACGUUAAAAUCAAUCAAUAUUAAGGAGCGCAAGGGUCAGAAACACAGCAACUGUCCUGGUCGCUGCUCCACCCCCUCUGCCGAUCCGGGGAGGGCUGCAACUACCACGUCUCCUCCCAUACAUGUGGAGUCACCAGCCGCUUCUUUUCACCUGACCGUGAGGAGUUUCAACAGGGGGAUGUAGCGCGUGGGACAAUCAUGCUAUUCCCCCAGCCCCACCCACCGAACAGGUGCCCCGAGCGACCAGGACACAUACCCACAUCUGGUUUCCUACCCGCACACAUGGCCAAUUGUGUCUGUAGGGACGCCCAACCAAGCUGGAGGGAACACGGGGAUUCGAACCGGUGAUCCUUGUGUUGGUAGCCAACAGAAUAGACCGCUACUCUACCUGGACACCCUGGUGAUACAUUUCUAAUGCACCGUUGCAUCUCUUACGAAAAGGUGGGCCGGUCGUCCUUAAACAGAAGGGAACAGCGUUGUUGUUUAUUUGUAAGGCUGUGCUGCAGAAACGGCCUGCUACCGCUGCUCGCUGUCUGGGUCCGUGUAAAUACGCCACUCACAACGUCCGGUCACGGGCCAUUUGCACAUCAGCGGCACCUCUCGUUCACGCUGAACUUGGAGAAAGUGGGUUCAGAUACGUCGCUGCAUACAAAUGGAACGUGGCUUCAGACCCAUCUGAAGCCACGUUCUCUUAUUUCACCUGAACAUUUUCGAAGGUCGUACUUAUGUGUUGGCAGUCACUCUUGUACAUGCUUUUCUUAAUUGUGUAAUAUGUAUAAUCUGUGUCUGUGAAUUAUUGGUGCGUCUGUCUAUGUGUAAACUGUAUAUGUUUAUCUUUUUAGUACACAGGUCUCUCUCGAAAAAGAGAUCCCAAGUUCAGUAAGACUACCUGAUUAUAUAAAGGCUUAAAAA